GACGAACGCUGGCGGCGUGCUUAGCACAUGCAAGUCGAACGGAAAGGCCCUGCUUGCAGGGUACUCGAGUGGCGAACGGGUGAGUAACACGUGGGUGAUCUGCCCUGCACUUCGGGAUAAGCCUGGGAAACUGGGUCUAAUACCGGAUAGGAGCCAUUUUUAGUGUGAUGGUUGGAAAGUUUUUUCGGUGUAGGAUGAGCUCGCGGCCUAUCAGCUUGUUGGUGGGGUAAUGGCCUACCAAGGCGGCGACGGGUAGCCGGCCUGAGAGGGUGGACGGCCACAUUGGGACUGAGAUACGGCCCAGACUCCUACGGGAGGCAGCAGUGGGGAAUAUUGCACAAUGGGCGCAAGCCGGAUGCAGCGACGCCGCGUGGGGGAUGACGGCCUUCGGGUUGUAAACUCCUUUCGCUAGGGACGAAGCUUUUUGUGACGGUACCUAGAUAAGAAGCACCGGCUAACUACGUG
rnacentral:rRNA from 1 species